rnacentral:piRNA from 1 species
UGACAACAUGGACUUGACACU